GGAGCACAAAGUGGCAUAUGCAGUUCUACCUCCCUUCUCAUUUAAUCGCCAGAACAGCCCCGUGAGGGAAAAAGUAGAAGCUGAAGUAAGACAAUGGAAUUUCUGCACAAGACCAUAGCUACUGCUUCCUGAGGAUUAGAGAAGGAUCCUUUCUGAAUUAUUCUCUCCCUAUGAGGAAUUGCUGCCUCUCUUUUAUCCUUGACAUCUUUCCAUGUUGUGAGAUGGCUUUACUUGGCAGUUUGCCCAACGUGCUACAUUGUACUCAUAGCUCUGAAAAAAGCACAAGAAGAAUAGUCUCAUGUAUUGUUGGCUGAAAACAUUUCUUCUCAUUUAGACAAUAUGAUUUAUGUUUGGCAUCACAAGUCAGAUGUCUUGCAUAUGAUUUCCCUAUUGCUUUCUGGCCUGUUUGGCAUUAGUUAUGAUUUUUUAGUUUUUAAGUCUUAUAGACUGAUAAUCGGAUUUUAGAUGCUGUGUUGAAAGCCAUAAAUUACUGGAUUACUAGAAAACAGGUGAAUUGGAAGAUAUCUAACUAUUUGAUUAUAAGGCAUUAGAAAUGUACCUGGCAUCUUUGUUGCCUGUGCAUAUAAAGUACCUAUUUCAAUCAUUGUUCAAUUCUAAAUUAAAACAGUGAACAGUAGUAGCUAAUCAUAUUUUGGGUUUAAGAAUUGCACAGAAAAUCUUAAUCUUUCUUUCUAGCUACACACUGAAUCUGGGCAGCUAGAGAAACUGAUUAAAAUUUUAUUGCAUUACUCCGUUUAGGAUUAUCAUGAACAUUGUACUUGGUUGGUAUAUGUAAAGUGAUGUAUGAGAUAAAUGCAUAUAUUUAUUUAAAAAUAUAUACUGUGCUUUCCUUUAUAAACACAAAUGUGAUGGAUCUAAGAAUUGUCGAUGGGUCAGUGAGUUGAAGCUGAAUCCUGAAAAGACAAUGGCAUUAUAUGUUCCAAGUCCAGGGAAUGGGAAGACAUCCUGUUAUCAACAGAGUUGCACUCCCCAGGAUCCAGUGCUGUCACUGGAGGCUCAGGUGCCCUUGAUGGGUAGGAGUACAUAUUUCCAGAGGUGGUCCUUCUUGGGCUCUUGUGACUUUGCCACAGACCUCCAUUCUCUGUUAACCAACAGAAUGGACUAUUGCAUUGUGCUCUCAAUUGGCCUUGGCUCAUUUAGAGUUCUGCAUUGGUUGUCAGUUUCUAGAUCUAAUUCAAUGUGUUCCAAUUUUGUGUUUAAAGCCCUAAAGGACUUAGGUCCCAAGUAUCUGAUAUAAUGCUUCCAUAUCACACAGGUGUUAAGAGCUGUUCAGGCAGGGGAGCGGCUGUCUUGGUAUUUCUGCCGCCCUAAGAAGUACGGAGAAUGGUGGCUUGCGAGAGGGCUUUCUCUGUGGCAGCCCCUAAAUUGUGAAGCUCCUUCCCCACACAGCUCUGUCCUUAUUGCAUAGCUUCUGCCAUGUGCUGAAGAAAUACCUCUUUAUCCUGGCCUUUUGGACAUGUUUGUUUGUUUGUGGAGAUCUCCCCCACAACAUACUUUUCUGUUUUGAUUGGAACAGUUUUACUUGUUGUUGUAUUUUUACCAUUGUAACUGUUUUUCUCUUUUAUAACCACUUGAUUGAUUAUGUUGCUGUAACCUGCUCAGGAGGCACUAUGCCAAGAAGUCACAUAAAUAAAAUAUGUAUUCUUGA